UACGUAGGGCGCAAGCGUUAUCCGGAGUUACUGGGCGUAAAGGGCGUGCAGGCGGCUUGAUAAGUUCGGCGUGAAAUUUCCCGGCUUAACCGGGGGAUGUCGUCGGAGACUGUCGAGCUAGAGGGUGAUAGAGGCGUGUGGAAUUCCGGGUGUAGUGGUGAAAUGCGUAGAGAUCCGGAGGAACACCAGUGGCGAAGGCGACACGCUGGGUCAUACCUGACGCUAAAACGCGACAGCAUGGGGAGCGAACGGG
rnacentral:rRNA from 1 species